rnacentral:rRNA from 1 species
CUACGCACUCCUACGGGAGGCAGCAGUGGGGAAUAUUGCACAAUGGGCGCAAGCCUGAUGCAGCCAUGCCGCGUGUAUGAAGAAGGCCUUCGGGUUGUAAAGUACUUUCAGCAGUGAGGAAGGUGGAUAUGUUAAUAGCAUAUUCAUUUGACGUUAGCUGCAGAAGAAGCACCGGCUAACUCCGUGCCAGCAGCCGCGGUAAUACGGAGGGUGCGAGCGUUAAUCGGAAUUACUGGGCGUAAAGCGCAUGCAGGUGGUUUGUUAAGUCAGAUGUGAAAGCCCGGGGCUCAACCUCGGAAUUGCAUUUGAAACUGGCAAACUAGAGUACUGGUAGAGGGGGUAGAAUUUCAGGUGUAGCGGUGAAAUGCGUAGAGAUCUGAAGGAAUACCGGUGGCGAAGGCGGCCCCCUGGACAGAUACUGACACUCAGAUGCGAAAGCGUGGGGAGCAAACAGGAUUAGAUACCCUGGUAG